GGGCUGGCCCAGCAGCUGCAGGAUGGCAUCACCUACAGGAGCCUCUGUGGGACCCCCCAGUACAUUGCUCCUGAAGUGAUCAAUUAUGAACCACUGAGCCCUGCGACCGACAUGUGGAGCAUCGGAGUCAUCACCUACAUUCUGCUCAGUGGCCUGUCCCCCUUCCAGGGUGAGACGGAUGCUGAGACGCUGUCCAACGUUGUGGCGGGUGCCUACGAGUUUGAGGAGCGCUGCUUCAGCCAGACCUCCGAGCUGGCCAAGGAUUUCAUCCGCCAGCUGCUGCUGAAGGAGCCACAGUGAGGCCCCAGCCCCAUCCCUUCCAUCUCCUUCCCAUCUCUGCCCCCACCUACACCUCUGUUAUCCCCACCACCAAAAUCUCCAUCCCCAUCUUCAUCGUUUCUAUGCCCAUCUCCAUCCCAUUCUGGUCUCACCUUCAUCCCCAUCCCCACCUCCAUCGUCCCUAUCUCUCUUUCCAUCUCCAUCCCAUUUCUAUGGCUAUGCCCAUCCCUAUGUCCAUCCCCAUUCCCAUCCCAUCCCAUCCCAUCCC